rnacentral:rRNA from 1 species
AUUGAACGCUGGCGGCAGGCCUAACACAUGCAAGUCGAAUGGUAACAGGAAACAGCUUGCUGUUUCGCUGACGAGUGGCGGACGGGUGAGUAAUGUCUGGGAAACUGCCUGAUGGAGGGGGAUAACUACUGGAAACGGUAGCUAAUACCGCAUAACGUCGCAAGACCAAAGAGGGGGACCUUCGGGCCUCUUGCCAUCAGAUGUGCCCAGAUGGGAUUAGCUAGUAGGUGGGGUAACGGCUCACCUAGGCGACGAUCCCUAGCUGGUCUGAGAGGAUGACCAGCCACACUGGAACCGAGACACGGUCCAGACUCCUACGGGAGGCAGCAGUGGGGAAUAUUGCACAAUGGGCGCAAGCCUGAUGCAGCCAUGCCGCGUGUAUGAAGAAGGCCUUCGGGUUGUAAAGUACUUUCAGCGGGGAGGAAGGGAGUAAAGUUAAUACCUUUGCUCAUUGACGUUACCCGCAGAAGAAGCACCGGCUAACUCCGUG